UGAUAUUCACGGCAAGGAGAACGAUCAGCUAGUCUCGUAUGUUCCUGGAAGCGUGUAUGUUUUCAUGUAAUUAAUCCUAUGUACGUUUUCUAACUCAAAGUAAGACAAAUAUAUCGUGGUAGUCAUUGCGGUUAACAAUUUGAACCUAUGACAAUGUAAUAUUUCCAAUAUAAAAUCAGCAUUUAUUAGACGCAAUCGAAUCAUAGAGAUGUACUUUUAACCAUCUAAUCUGCUUAAGUUCAAACAAGUAUUAAAGGCAGACGUACAUAAGACAAUAGGAUGGAUUGCGCAAACUUUAACGGCCUAUCAAUAAUAUUAUGAAUGAUUUAUGAAGACACAGCACUGUCCAGUUAGUGAAUGAGUGUGUUUAAGAGUGGCGCAAACUUUAUAAGAUCUGUUAAACAGAAUGUGGAAAGAUAUAGUCCUUACAGUACUAUUGCUUGGCAUGGUUCAAGUUUUAGCGGAACACAGAAAACGUCAGUCCCAUCCCACGUCAUUUAAAAGUUUAUUAGGUUGGAGAGAUAUUGCAGCUGAUGUGGAUAAUUAUGGCGAUAAAAGUUAUUCUUACACACCUCCAGUUUCUAGUCCGCGCAAAUAUGGAAAUUAUUUUUGGGGUCUUCGGUGGGUAAACAACCCGGAACUGCUUGGUGGGUUGCAAAUUCGAAAACGUGUGUUACACAGCAACACUUUACGUGAUUACAAAAAAAUGUCUAAAGACCUGAUUUCCUAUCCAUUUUAUGAGAUGAGUAAGAGGCAAGACUAUAGUUGUGAUACAACCCGCAUUACUAUACAAACAAUAAUAGAGUAUCUUCGAACUGGUAGAAUUUGUGGUUUCAGAGUGUCAACCAUGCGCUUUGGACUCGGUCGACGACGAUAAGAAAAAGGAUGGAAACUAACACGAGCUUCUUUUAUUUUAGUUUCCUUCAUGUCAUUCUAGAAUAGUGAAAACACGCGGGAAGAUUCUGGGAUUUUCUGGAAUAUGAAUGUAGUACCAGAGAAAAUGAAACGUCUAGGACUUUAUUUAAAGACGUAGGCUCGGGAAAAAUCUUUUUUCGUGGGGGAACUUGGGUCUGAGACCUUUUUUUGAAGAAGUGUGCUCGGGGAAUUGUUUUUUCGAGACUGCAAAGGAAUGUAAUAUUUCUAUAAGCUUUUAAUUUUGCUUCAGGAUUUGUUUACGCCUACAGUUGUUUACGUGUGAGAUGAAAGAAAACUGUAGUGUUCGCUUUCGGGUACCGCGAGCAUAUUCAUUAUCGUAUAUGUGGUCGUUAAUAAUGUAGGGGUGGAAAAGCGGAAGCACAAUGAAUGGAUAAAGAAAGCUGAUAUGUUUCUUUGAAUAUACAUAAUUUAUCGUGCUGUUUUAUUAUUUUCCUUCCCUAUUUGAUACCAGUCUGAACAUACCCUUUAUCUUUAAUUGUUCGUUCGUAACGUAUCUGACGUCAUUAUGUGUAUCACUUAUGGAUGAAUUGUAAUUGAAUGUAGUUAAAACUCGCUUUCAUUAAAGGCUUCAAAGAACGAAUAUAAAUUUGAAUUACCCACGUUCUGCUAUUUAUAGCUGUCCAUUGAUCCGAUCUAUUAUUGUGGAAAAGAUAUUUGAUAUAAUUCAAUAUAAUCUCUAUUACCAUCAAAUCAGAUGCUUAUUAAAGCCUUUAGUGAUUACAUAGCCUGUUUAUUUUUCUUGAUGAGUUUAUAUGUAGAACUUUUGACAGUCUUAUCAAAUUGGAUUUGCUCUAAGUCACUAAUCCACAUAAUAUAGUUGUAUAUGAUUGGUUAAAUUGUAUUAUGAUUAUUUACCAAAUAUAUAUUCACCAUGAUAAUAGAUAAUAAAAUCGGUUAUAACUUA